rnacentral:tRNA from 1 species
GGCCCCUUAGCUCAGCGGUCAGAGCGUGCGACUCAUAAUCGCCCGGUCGCUGGUUCAAACCCAGCAGGGGCCACCA